UGGGGAAUCUUGCGCAAUGGGGGAAACCUUGACGCAGCAACGCCGCGUGGGUGAUGAAGGCCUUCGGGUCGUAAAGCCCUGUCAGGUGGGAAGAAACGUAUCGGUGUUAAUACCACCGAUAUUUGACGGUACUACCGGAGGAAGCACCGGCUAACUCCGUGCCAGCAGCCGCGGUAAUACGGAGGGUGCAAGCGUUGUUCGGAAUUACUGGGCGUAAAGCGCGUGUAGGCGGUCGGGCAAGUCAGAUGUGAAAGCCUUCCGCUUAACGGAAGAAGUGCAUUUGAAACUACCCGGCUGGAGUACGGGAGAGGAGAGUGGAAUUCCCGGUGUAGAGGUGAAAUUCGUAGAUAUCGGGAGGAACACCAGUGGCGAAGGCGGCUCUCUGGUCCGAUACUGACGCUGAUACGCGAAAGCGUGGGGAGCAAACAGGAUUAGAUACCCUGGUAGUCCACGCCGUAAACGAUGGGCACUAGGUGUAGGAGGUAUUGACCCCUUCUGUGCCGAAGUUAACGCAUUAAGUGCCCCGCCUGGGGAGUACGGCCGCAAGGUUA
rnacentral:rRNA from 1 species